rnacentral:lncRNA from 1 species
UGUUAACUGAAAAUGUUUUAUGCCAGAAAUGUACCAGCAUCUUUGUUAUUAAACACAGGCUUUGAUGAUGACACAUUUCCCAUGUUCAUAACUUGUGAUUGGUGAAGAAACAGCUGAGGCCUAGAUAAGUUAUGUGCCCAAUGCCACACAGCUAGAAAGCUACAAAGCUGAAGUUUGAACCCAACUCAUCUUGGUCCAGAGUCUGUGCACAGAAGUCCUCAUACAUCCAGCACUCAGCCUGCUCUUGAGCAAAAGGUACAUGUCCAACUUAAGAAAGCGUUUACUACUAGAGAUCGCUGAAAAAAUCAUAAGUCAUUUCAAUCAGGUUGAAUGCACUGCCCCAGAGAUGUUCAAGAAGAGGUUCAAGGACUUCUUAGGACGGAGUUUUAUGAGAGGCACCAACAUUGAAGACAUCAAAUCCAAUUGUAAAGUCCUUCCAAAUGGAAGAUUGUAAAAGCAUCUAAAGGUCUAUUCUGGAUGGGAAGAUAACAUGGGCAAAGGUAAUGACUAUCUGGGAGGAGCAGACCAGUAUGGCUGUAAUGAGAAAUUCAUGGAGAAGAGUGGUUUCCAGUAAUGCUGCAAAAAUCGGCUAGAAUCAGAUUGCGAGAGACCCUGAAUGUCAGCAAAAUCGGGUUUUGGUCUUAAUCCUCUUAAUCCUUUAACUGAUGGGAAGACUUAAAGAGUUCCUC